UGGGGAAUUUUGGACAAUGGGCGAAAGCCUGAUCCAGCAAUGCCGCGUGUGUGAAGAAGGCCUUCGGGUUGUAAAGCACUUUUGUCCGGAAAGAAAUCCUUGGCUCUAAUACAGUCGGGGGAUGACGGUACCGGAAGAAUAAGCACCGGCUAACUACGUGCCAGCAGCCGCGGUAAUACGUAGGGUGCAAGCGUUAAUCGGAAUUACUGGGCGUAAAGCGUGCGCAGGCGGUUUGCUAAGACCGAUGUGAAAUCCCCGGGCUCAACCUGGGAACUGCAUUGGUGACUGGCAGGCUAGAGUAUGGCAGAGGGGGGUAGAAUUCCACGUGUAGCAGUGAAAUGCGUAGAGAUGUGGAGGAAUACCGAUGGCGAAGGCAGCCCCCUGGGCCAAAUACUGACGCUCAUGCACGAAAAGCGUGGGGAGCAAAACAGGAUUCAGAUACCCUGGUAGUCCACGCCCUAAACGAUGUCAACUAGUUGUUGGGGAUUCAUUUCCUUAGUAACGUAGCUAACGCGUGAAGUUGACCGCCUGGGGAGUACGGUCGCAAGAUUAAAACUCAAAU
rnacentral:rRNA from 1 species